rnacentral:rRNA from 1 species
AGAGUUUGAUCCUGGCUCAGAGCGAACGCUGGCGGCGUGCUUAACACAUGCAAGUCGAGUGCGCGCCUGUAGCAAUACAGGUGGCGCACGGCGCACGGGUGCGUAACACGUGGGUAAUCUGCCCUUCGAUGGGGAAUAACUCGCCGAAAGGCGAGCUAAUUCCGCAUAACAUUCCGAGAACCUUGGUUUUUGGAUUCAAAGGCGUAAGUCGUCGGAGGAGGAGCCCGCGCACGAUUAGCUAGUUGGUGAGGUAAUGGCUCACCAAGGCUAUGAUCGUUAGCUGGUCUGAGAGGAUGGCCAGCCACACUGGAACUGAGACACGGUCCAGACUCCUACGGGAGGCAGCAGUGGGGAAUCUUGCACAAUGGGCGAAAGCCUGAUGCAGCGACGCCGCGUGGGGGAUGAAGCUUUUCGGAGUGUAAACCCCUUU